GAUGAACGCUGGCGGCGUGCCUAAUACAUGCAAGUCGAGCGAAUGGACUAAGAGCUUGCUCUUAUGAAGUUAGCGGCGGACGGGUGAGUAACACGUGGGUAACCUGCCCAUAAGACUGGGAUAACUCCGGGAAACCGGGGCUAAUACCGGAUAACAUUUUGAACCGCAUGGUUCGAAAUUGAAAGGCGGCUUCGGCUGUCACUUAUGGAUGGACCCGCGUCGCAUUAGCUAGUUGGUGAGGUAACGGCCCACCAAGGCAACGAUGCGUAGCCGACCUGAGAGGGUGAUCGGCCACACUGGGACUGAGACACGGCCCAGACUCCUACGGGAGGCAGCAGUAGGGAAUCUUCCGCAAUGGACGAAAGUCUGACGGAGCAACGCCGCGUGAGUGAUGAAGGCUUUCGGGUCGUAAAACUCUGUUGUUAGGGAAGAGCAAGUGCUAGUUGAAUAAGCUGGCACCUUGACGGUACCUAACCAGAAAGCCACGGCUAACUACGUGCCAGCCGCCGCGGUAA
rnacentral:rRNA from 1 species